AUUGAACACUGGCGGCAGGCCUAACACAUGCAAGUCGACCGAGUGGCGGACGGGUGAGUAAUGUCUGGGAAACUGCCUGAUGGAGGGGGAUAACUACUGUAAACGGUAGCUAAUACCGCAUACCAUCAGAUGUGCCCAGAUGGGAUUAGCUAGUAGGUGAGGUAACGGCUCACCUAGGCGACGAUCCCUAGCUGGUCUGAGAGGAUGACCAGCAACCCUGGAACGGAGACACGGUCCAGACUCCUACGGGAGGGAGCAGUGGGGAAUAUUGCACAAGGGGCGCAAGCCUGAUGCAGCCAUGCCGCGUGUAUGAAGAAGGCCUUCGGGUUGUAAAGUACGUUCAGCGGGGAGGCGUUACCCGCAGAAGAAGCACCGGCUAACUCCGGGCCAGCAGCCGCGGUAAUAC
rnacentral:rRNA from 1 species